rfam:Schistosoma haematobium scaffold1472_3, whole genome shotgun sequence.
AUCCAGCUGACGAGUCCCAAAUGGGACGAAACUCGCGCCCUAGAU